GAGACAUGGAGGAGGCCGUAAGAGGGCAACAACCCAGCAGCAGGACCGCUACCUCCACCUUUGUGCAAGGAGGAACAGGAGGAGCACUGCCAGAGUCCUGCAAAAUGACCUCCAGCAGGCCACAAAUGUGCAUGUGUCUGCUCAAACGGUCAGAAACAGACUCCAUGAGGGUGGUAUGAGGGCCCGACGUCCACAGGUGGGGGUUGU